AGGAGCAAUCAGAAAGAUGACCACGAACUAGAAGCAAGUGAUUUCCUAGAAGACGAGGUACCAGAGUUUUAAGAAUGAAGGAUACAUCCAGGAUACAUCUAUGUUGGGAGUAAAGUGUGCGGAGGUGCAGACAAAGCAGCAAGACCAGCUCAGAGGUCUCCAAAUAAAGACUAGGGAGCUGGGUCCUGGAGCAGAGGAUCAAUUCCAGCUGUCACCCCUGGAGCCUGUCAUCUUCUCCCGCCUGGUCUAGUGUGGUACUCUUCUCUCUGCACUCCCAUUCCACCUGCACCUCCAUAUGCAAAGACAACCCUGGUGAUAUCGCUGGCCAACUAAAAAAACAUGUCUGCUUGGCUCCUCUCUGUUGCUGAUGUCUGAAGCUUUGAGACUCUGAAAGUUGGUCAUGCUAAUCAAGUCUGUUCCCAGCACCCAAGAUCUUCUGACAUUGUGGCAAGUGAUAGCUUCGCAGAGUCUGCUGUAGCAUCAACCAAGCAUUUAGAAUCACAGAAAUCUCUGAAGCCCAUCGCUCUGUUACAAUAUAUGUCCUCACUUUGAAGGGGUUGGAUCUCUGCCAGGGGUUGGUAUCCUCACUCCUGUCUCAUCAUGCUUACCUGUUCCUUGAGAGCCAUAGGUAGAUGGACCAGUACUUAUUUUCAUGGAUGAAUCAAGUCAGUAAUGCCGAUCCACUCCAAGAAUAUGCAAAUUAUGAAAUCCUAUCUUGUGUCUUCACUGUUUUGAAUAUUCUUUAACUGUAAGGGAAUUAAUUCAUAUUUAUAAUCUGAGAUCUUCUUGAUUUCAGGUAAUUUGUGUUACUACAAUCAUUAACACUUUAUCAGAACAAAAUAAAUUUAAAUGUGUUUUGGCUUAUACAGUAUUUUGUUGAGGGGGGCUGAAAUUUUUCUUUAUUGCUUUCAUAAAACAUAAACUGAUGAGUUUGAAUUAUACACUUCCAACAGGGACAGAAAGCACUAGGUUAGUUCAAGGGGAAGGAGAUGAAGUAGAAGGAGAUUCAUUUCAGAUCAUUAAAAAUGGUUGUUCUAGUUCUGGGACAGAUUUUUGAAUUAUAUUUUUUCUUCUUGACCAAAUUUUCCUAUGUUUGUAGAGAAUUCUAACAAAAUAUUUGUCUUCUUUCGAGAAUAAGCCAAUUCCUCCACCAAUGGAAUUUCUUCUGUGUAAUAAUCUCUCAGGAAUAUAUUUGGAAACUCGUGUCUGUAAGGGCAGAUUUGAAGACACAAGGCUGACCUCACUCCAAAUGUCAGCCACAAUACUUGAGCUGCAUUCCUAUUAGUUCCUGUCACCAACAAAUGCCAUUUAACCAAUUAUUCUUGGCGAAAAGUAUCACAUAUGCCACAGGAAGCGUGGGAAGCCCACUCUCUGUGGUGAGGACAAGGUCUCAGGCUCAUUGGGCCACAUUUGCAUUUCAACUGCAUACUGCAAUGUGUUGGCCAGGCCCUGCUUCUCAUGGCAUAUUUGUGAUGGAAUUGGAGCUGCCCCCAUAACCACAGCCCUAGAGUGAUUUAUGAUUCUGGUGAAGCACUCUGAAUUUUGGUCCACACUGUUAAGAUAAGAUAGUAUCUGAAGAAGAGUGGCUGCUCGGGAAAAAGUCAGCUACAGAUGAUCUAAUGGGUCUGAUAAUUCAUUAAAAAAUACUAGAAAGAGCACAGUGCCUGGACUUAGACACAGUUAAAUUUCAUUCCAGUCCUCCCCAUUUAUUAACUCUGUAUUAGAAAACACUAGAGUGUGUUUUUAAAUUUUUCUGAGCCUCAGUCUCCUCUGCAAAAUGGGAAUACUAGGACUUGCUCCAAAGAACUAUUGCGAAGAUGAAAUGAAAAAGUGUGAGGAACUCUCAGGCUCACUGCCUACUUGUGGCAGGCACUCAGUGAUAGUCCCACCUCUCCACUUCUCUUUCCUCUUCUGCCCAGAAUACCCAAUACACCAUUUCUAUAGACUGGGUAUCUUAUAGACCCUAUUGGCUGGCUCAUAGAAAUCAUCCCUGAUCUCCUAUCUGGAUACCUUCUACUACCCACUCUAGAAAAACUGUAUUUUUCUAUUCCCAGCCUCCCCUGUAUCUUGUGAUGGAGGAUACACUUCUAGCCAAUAGAACAUAAAGGAAAUUCUCCUGAGAGUUUUCAGGGCAAGUUUUGGUUUACUGAUAGACAGAAGCUGCUGUAAACAUUCUCUCUUCCUCUUACCUCAAAUGCCUUGGUCUGGGUCAGUGCUUUUGUGUCUGUGAGGAAUAAUCAUGCUAAAAAAAAAUCAAAAGAAUCACAGGACUUCUCAAAGAUGCAGAUCCUGUCUUGGGUGAGCCCCCCAGUAAACUGGAGCUGCCUACACCAGUCUUCCAAGUAGGUAAGAAAAAAAAGGAACUCUAUUUGAUCAAGCCACUUGACUUAUAUAUAGGUAAGUAAAUGGGACAAGGAUUGGAGGAAGGGGAGAAAGGAAGAGAGGGAGGGGGACAGUGAGGGAGGAUAGGAGGGAGAGGAGAGGAGAGGAGAGAGAGAGAGAGAGAGAGAGAGAGAGAGAGAGAGAGAGAGAGAAAGAGAAUUACUCCCAUAGUAUGUAGCUGGAGAAGCAAAUCCUUUAAUUUUUUGAGUAUUAAAUGUUAAUUUGGUAAGCUAUGUAAUAGUUCCCCAAAAGAUACCCACGUCUUAAUCUCUAGAACCUGUAAAGGUUUCAUUGCAAGCCAAAAAAAAAAAAAAGGAUUGCAGAUAUGAUUAUGGUUAUGAAUCUUGAAAAUGAAGAGAUUAUCAGAGAGGGCCCUCAACCCGAUUAUGUGUAUCCUUACAAGAGGGAGGCAGGGAGAGAUUCCCAGAAACACACAGAAGAACAGGAGACAAGGAGAUGACAGAGGCAAGACGUGGGACACAUGCACCAUAGCCAAGGAACACCUGCAGCCUCCAGAAGUGGAAAAGGCAAGAAACAGAUGGGACUCUCUACCAGGGCCUCUGAGGGACUAUGGGCCAGCCAGUAGUGAUUUUGAUGUUGGCCCAAUGAUACUGAUUUUGGACUUCUGGCCUCCAGAACUCUGAGAGAAUGAAUUUCUGUUGUUUUAAGCCACUAAAUUUGUUGUACUUUAUUAUAGCAGCCACAGGACAUCAAUAUACUUAGUUAUCAAGACUUUCUGAUUUCAUUUUAGGGUAUGAAUAAUAGUGAUAACUGGUAUAUAAUGAAUGCCCUCUGUGGACCAGGCAACCAGACUCCUCACUGUGCACGGAUCACCUCAUUAGUCCUCACCCCAACAAUCUCCUGAGGCAGCUGUUCCUCUUCUUUCUGUCUCCUAGCAAGGAGAACUACCUCAAGGAAGCUGGACACGUUGCUUCAGAUCUUUUGUGUGAUUCUAAUAGCAGACGUGGUAUAUUUUGGAUAGUAAAAUCAAUUCUGUUUGGAUUUAAAAGGGAACAGGUGGCUGCAAUUUUAGCCAUUCUUCAAUAUCCAGUAAUAAGGCUGAAAGGAAGUCAUCUCUAUCUUUCCUGCUAAGAUGUUAUUUAUUUGAGACACAGAGAGAGGCAGAGAGAGAAGCAGACUCCCUGCGGGAAGCCUGAUGAAGGAAUCGAUCCCAGGAUCCCAACUACCUGAGCCGAAGGCAGAUGCUUAAACACUGAGACUCCCAGGCGUCCAACUAUGUUUUCUAUUAUUAAGAAUUGUGGGUCUAUAUUUUUCAGUUGGAUGUCUCUUUCCAAAGGAAGGCAUCCAGGACCUCUUAAAGGGAAUCUUCCCUGGCACCAUCCCAGGCCCCGUCCUCCCCAGUGUCACUCUAUCCACCACCUUUCUCCCUUGAAAUGGCUCCUUUUCUUAUACCUGGUCCACAAUGUGGCUUUUCUGCCUCUUUCUCUAUGAACCUUCUUCAUUAUGUCCCUCCCUGGCUCCUCUUCGUCUCUCUACCACUAGCUGUGGACAAGUAUCAACAUUUUCCAAGCCACUAUUGUAGAAUUUUGAGGCAUCUUUAACUUUUCCCAUCCCCCAUUUCUGAAAUCAACGUUUCCUGAUGAUACUUCCAUAUUUUGCAGUCACAUUUUGGAAAAGAAUGAGAAAUCAUAAUUCUAGUUAAACAAUCUUUGUUUUACAGAUAAGGACUCUGAGCCUAGUGAGGCAAAUCAAGCUUUUCCAUUUUUUUUUUAAUCUCCAUGGGUAAUCAUUUCAAGCUAAUCUAUUACCUCUUAUUUGGAUUGUUGUCAUAGAUUCCCAUACUGUAUGCCAAUCUUCCUGAAAUUCUUCUUUAGCUAUUUGUUAAUUAAUCUAUUAAGGUGCUAUUAACUCAUUUAAUGAAUACUUCAUGAAUAUUCCUAUUGUUCUACCCAUGUUCUAAGCUCUGGAAUAAACAUGACAGAGGUGGAGUACCCAUGCUGCAUUGUUUAUUUUUCAACUUCUUAUACAGGAGACAAAUGACCAAGAAAUAAAAACAACAAAAAAAAUGUAUGUGUCCCUGGGUGAGAAAGAGAUGUUAGGCAAUGCUAUGAAGACCACCAAAGCAGAGUACAAAAGUAUAGAAUGAUAGAAUCCCUGUUUGAGGAAUAUGCUGAACUGUGCAAGAAUGAAAUGAGGGACCCAGCUAAACAAAGAUCUGGAGGAAAAGCAUGGCAGUAAUGAUGCACUAAGCAGCAAGUACAAAGGCCCUGUGGCAGGUAAGUCUUGAUGUAUUUGACAAAGAGCAAGAAAGUCAUUAUGGCUGGAGUAGAGCAAGCCAGGUGAUGGUUGAUAGGAGAUAAGGACAGAGAAGGUACAAAAUGGCCAGGUCAGUAGAGGCAGCCCAACCUCAACCUGUCAAACAUGUUUCUUCAUCUUUCAAUGAAUAAAAUUUGUCUCCUUGAAUGGGUAACCAAGGAUCGCCAUUGGUUAU